GACGAACGCUGGCGGCGUGCCUAAUACAUGCAAGUCGAGCGGACCAAAGGGAGCUUGCUCCUGGAGGUUAGCGGCGAACGGGUGAGUAACACGUGGGCAACCUGCCUGUAAGACUGGGAUAACAUCGAGAAAUCGGUGCUAAUACCGGAUAAUAAAAAGAACUGCAUGGUUCUUUUUUGAAAGAUGGUUUCGGCUAUCACUUACAGAUGGGCCCGCGGCGCAUUAGCUAGUUGGUGAGGUAACGGCUCACCAAGGCGACGAUGCGUAGCCGACCUGAGAGGGUGAUCGGCCACACUGGGACUGAGACACGGCCCAGACUCCUACGGGAGGCAGCAGUAGGGAAUCUUCCGCAAUGGACGAAAGUCUGACGGAGCAACGCCGCGUGAGUGAUGAAGGUUUUCGGAUCGUAAAACUCUGUUGUUAGGGAAGAACAAGUGCCGUUCGAAAGGGCGGCACCUUGACGGUACCUAACGAGAAAGCCACGGCUAACUACGUGCCAGCAGCCGCGGUAAAGUC
rnacentral:rRNA from 1 species